rnacentral:lncRNA from 1 species
UGCCGGCAACAUGCUAUUUAGAUUAUCUUCAUGAGAUGAUCUUGGAUUUGGUUCUCGCACUCCUAUAAGGAUAAAUUGUAAAGAUGCGUUAUUUUGCAUAGAACUCGAAUCUAUACAAAUCUAUUUAAAGUACCAGACGAGUCAUACAACUAAGCUCAAGAAAAAUCAAGUUAGAAGCCAGAGAACUCUUACCGGUUUCUUCUAUUAUUGGGUCGUCGACCUUCUUUUCUUCAUCAUUAUGAGCCAUAACCAGACCAUUGCCGCACUCAUUAUUAGGUCUAGCAGAUUCCUCAGCCGGCUGCUCUGACGAGUUGUCAACCUUCACUUCUCCUGCUGGGGACCCGACUUCGGAUUCC